AACAGGAUUAGAUACCCUGGUAGUCCACGCUGUAAACGAUGUCGAUUUGGAGGUUGUGCCCUUGAGGCGUGGCUUCCGGAGCUAACGCGUUAAAUCGACCGCCUGGGGAGUACGGCCGCAAGGUUAAAACUCAAAUGAAUUGACGGGGGCCCGCACAAGCGGUGGAGCAUGUGGUUUAAUUCGAUGCAACACGAAGAACCUUACCUACUCUUGACACCCAGAGAACUUUCCAGAGAUGGAUUGGUGCCUUCGGGAACUCUGAGACAGGUGCUGCAUGGCUGUCGUCAGCUCGUGUUGUGAAAUGUUGGGUUAAGUCCCGCAACGAGCGCAACCCUUAUCCUUUGUUGCCAGCGGUUCGGCCGGGAACUCAAAGGAGACUGCCAGUGAUAAACUGGAGGAAGGUGGGGAUGACGUCAAGUCAUCAUGGCCCUUACGAGUAGGGCUACACACGUGCUACAAUGGCGUAUACAAAGAGAAGCGACCUCGCGAGAGCAAGCGGACCUCAUAAAGUACGUCGUAGUCCGGAUUGGAGUCUGCAACUCGACUCCAUGAAGUCGGAAUCGCUAGUAAUCGUAGAUCAGAAUGCUACGGUGAAUACGUUCCCGGGCCUUGUACACACCGCCCGUCACACCAUGGGAGUGGGUUGCAAAAGAAGUAGGUAGCUUAACCUUCGGGAGGGCGCUUACCACUUUGUGAUUCAUGACUGGGGUGAAGUCGUAACAAGGUAACC
rnacentral:rRNA from 1 species